rnacentral:tRNA from 1 species
GGUCUAUUAGCUCAGUUGGUAGAGCACCUGACUUUUAAUCAGGGUGUCCCGCGUUCGAGUCGCGGAUAGAUCACCA